UACGUAGGCAGCGAGCGUUGUUCGGAGUUACUGGGCGUAAAGGGUGCGUAGGCGGUCGUUUUAAGUUUGGUGUGAAAUCUCCCGGCUCAACUGGGAGGGUGCGCCGAAUACUGAAUGACUAGAGUGCGGGAGAGGAUAGUGGAAUUCCUGGUGUAGCGGUGAAAUGCGUAGAUAUCAGGAGGAACACCGGUGGUGUAGACGGCUAUCUGGACCGUAACUGACGCUGAGGCACGAAAGCGUGGGUAGCAAACAGG
rnacentral:rRNA from 1 species